GUUAACACAUUUGUAUUUGUUUGAUUAAUUCUUGUGUCUUUCAGCCUGUUUCUGCCUAUCACCACUCAGAUUGAUCAUCAAGAUCUCAAUUAUAAGCUUAAGUCUUGAUGACAACUUGAUGAUCUGCAGGAAAAACCACCAUGUAAGGAAGGCCAAGACCACUCUGGAAUCAGUCAAGGGUGAAAUGGAGUGAGGCAUACAAGGAUAUGUGUGGUUUUACUCUUGGGAAGGAGGUUGAACAGUGCAAUAUUUCUUCUAUAGGAUUGCAGUGACCAGACAUGCUACUGUAACUCUCAUGGUCAUGUGCUGGAAUUAGCAGAUAUUCAACAAUUUGGCCAUCUCGCUGACCUAUUGAUAUCAGAAGACCGCAACAGCUCUGCAAAGCAAGUUGCAAAACAGAAUCCAUGGAACUGGCAGUGACUGGAAACCAAUUGGAAGACUGUGGUCUGUGAUGUAGAGGAGUGGGCAGACGCAGAAGCAAAGACAACAAAAAACAGAAGUGAUAUGGAUGUCUUCAUCAUAUGGCAUGACUCUGCUGACCCAGCAACAAAGAGGAGGGUGUUCAACAUCAUCCUGCUAGUCAGGAUUCUUCAGGAGAAGCAGUGGAUUCUUGUGGCAGAGAUGGCCAACCACUAUAAAUACCUUUCAACUCAUCCUGGUUUUUUCAAAGAACUUUCCUGCUAGUUUGCUACUGAAAAGUACUGAUUCGACAUGUGGCCUAACAAAGAGGGGUUAAAAGGUCUAUGGAUCAUCAUUCUCAAAAAGCAACAAAAUAACUGAGAAAUAAACAACAAUACGAUGGUGCAAUCUAGAGACCUGCAAGGUACCUGCAAGUUUUGGCUGGAGCAGAGAACAUAGAUUUUUUUUAAAUAAAGCUCCAGCUGAUGAGUAUGACAUUGACUGGAUUUUCUUUUACUGUAAUCCAGAAGAGGAUGACCUUAACCCUGAAUCUAAAGCAUGUAAUAAAAUC